UACAGAGGUCUCAAGCGUUGUUCGGAUUCAUUGGGCGUAAAGCGCGCGUAGGCGGCUCCGCAAGUCGGCCGUGAAAUCUCCAGGCUCAACUUGGAGGGGUCGGGCGAGACUGCGGAGCUCGAGGUGGGCAGAGGGCAGUGGAAUUCCGGGUGUAGUGGUGGAAUGCGUAGAGAUCGGAAAGAACACCAACGGCGAAAGCACUCUGCUGGGCCGACACUGACACUGAGAGACGAAAGCUAGGGGAGCGAAUGGG
rnacentral:rRNA from 1 species